ACAAUCUCAAGGUAGGUGGCCGUAUAAAUUUAACAUUCACAUGAAUGAAAGGAUGCAAUGUUUCCUUGCAGAUCAUUUCCCAGUGCAUAACACUGAAUCUGCAAGGCUGCCUUCUUCCCAUAGUGCUUCCUGCUACCAUCUCUUCUCCAGAUAAAAAUGAUUUUCAACCUUCUUAAAUUGCUUCAUGGUCCAACUCACAUGUCCCCACUGAAGGCGCUUUCAGUGGUAGACAGAUGUCAUGGUCAGGAG